GAUGAACGCUGGCGGCGUGCCUAAUACAUGCAAGUCGAGCGAACGGACGAGAAGCUUGCUUCUCUGAUGUUAGCAGCGGACGGGUGAGUAACACGUGGAUAACCUACCUAUAAGACUGGGAUAACUUCGGGAAACCGGAGCUAAUACCGGAUGAUAUUUUGAACCGCAUGGUUCAAAAGUGAAAGACGGUCUUGCUGUCACUUAUAGAUGGAUCCGCGCUGCAUUAGCUAGUUGGUAAGGUAACGGCUUACCAAGGCAACGAUGCAUAGCCGACCUGAGAGGGUGAUCGGCCACACUGGAACUGAGACACGGUCCAGACUCCUACGGGAGGCAGCAGUAGGGAAUCUUCCGCAAUGGGCGAAAGCCUGACGGAGCAACGCCGCGUGAGUGAUGAAGGUCUUCGGAUCGUAAAACUCUGUUAUUAGGGAAGAACAUAUGUGUAAGUAACUGUGCACAUCUCGACGGUACCUAAUCAGAAAGCCACGGCUAACUACGUG
rnacentral:rRNA from 1 species